rnacentral:rRNA from 1 species
GAUGAACGCUGGCGGCGUGCCUAAUACAUGCAAGUCGAGCGAACAGACGAGGAGCUUGCUCCUUUGACGUUAGCGGCGGACGGGUGAGUAACACGUGGAUAACCUACCUAUAAGACUGGGAUAACUUCGGGAAACCGGAGCUAAUACCGGAUAACAUGUUGAACCGCAUGGUUCAACAGUGAAAGACGGUCUUGCUGUCACUUAUAGAUGGAUCCGCGCCGCAUUAGCUAGUUGGUAAGGUAACGGCUUACCAAGGCAACGAUGCGUAGCCGACCUGAGAGGGUGAUCGGCCACACUGGAACUGAGACACGGUCCAGACUCCUACGGGAGGCAGCAGUAGGGAAUCUUCCGCAAUGGGCGAAAGCCUGACGGAGCUACGCCGCGUGAGUGAAGAAGGUCUUCGGAUCGUAAAACUCUGUUAUUAGGGAAGAACAAAUGUGUAAGUAACUAUGCACGUCUUGACGGUACCUAAUCAGAAAGCCACGGCUAACUACGUG